GAAGGGCUUUUGUGAUUUCAAUGGCUCUCACUCUCUCCCAGGUAUGGGCAGAGCUGAGCCAGGCUUGCAUAGGCUGAGGAAAACAAGGAAAAGACAGAGCUGGGCUUUGGCUGGGAAGCUGGGGGCCCCAGUGUGACUGGAGCUCAGCACGGUCUGAGAGAUCAUCCCCACACUGUGGCACAGGAUCAGUCUGAUGCUGGAGUCCUGCAGGGGGCAGACAGGCACUCCUGGAGUCUUUCAGAGCAGGAGCCCUCCUGGUGCUUUGAGAGCAACAUGCCUAUGAGUAAAGGAUGAGAGCGAUGGUAAAAUCACUCUUCAGGGAAAACC